AACGAACGCUGGCGGCGCGCUUAACACAUGCAAGUCGAGCGAGAACCCAGGCUUCGGCCUGGGGGAAAGCGGCGAACGGGUGAGUAACACGUGGGUAAUCUGCCCUCGGCAUCGGGAUAGCCCGGGGAAACCCGGAUUAAUACCGGAUGGCCCGACAGCUCUUCGGAGCGGUCGGAAAAGGUAGCUUCGGCCUCCGGCCGAGGAGGAGCCCGCGGCGGAUUAGGUUGUUGGUGAGGUAACGGCUCACCAAGGCUCCGAUCCGUAGCUGGUCUGGGAGGAGAAUCAGCCACACAGGGAAGGAGACACGGCCCAGACUCCUUCGGGAGGCAGCAGUGGGGAAUCUUGCGCAAUGGGCGAAAGCCUGACGCAGCGACGCCGCGUGAGGGAAGAAAGCCUUCGGGUUGUAAACCUCUUUCAGGAGGGACGAAGCCACUCGGGUUAAUAGCCCAGAGGGUGACGGUACCUCCAGAAGAAGCCCCGGCUAACUACGUGCCAGCCGCCGCAGUAAGAC
rnacentral:rRNA from 1 species